GACGAACGCUGGCGGCGUGCUUAACACAUGCAAGUCGAACGGAAAGGCCCUGCUUGCCGGGUACUCGAGUGGCGAACGGGUGAGUAACACGUGGGUGAUCUGCCCUGCACUUCGGGAUAAGCCUGGGAAACUGGGUCUAAUACCGGAUAGGAGCCAUUUUUAGUGUGAUGGUUGGAAAGUUUUUUCGGUGUAGGAUGAGCUCGCGGCCUAUUAGCUUGUUGGUGGGGUAAUGGCCUACCAAGGCGGCGACGGGUAGCCGGCCUGAGAGGGUGGACGGCCACAUUGGGACUGAGAUACGGCCCAGACUCCUACGGGAGGCAGCAGUGGGGAAUAUUGCACAAUGGGCGCAAGCCUGAUGCAGCGACGCCGCGUGGGGGAUGACGGCCUUCGGGUUGGAAACUCCUUUCGCUAGGGACGAAGCUUUUUGUGACGGUACCUAGAUAAGAAGCACCGGCUAACUACGUG
rnacentral:rRNA from 1 species